UACGUAGGGGGCAAGCGUUGUCCGGAUUUAUUGGGCGUAAGGAGCGUGUAGGCGGUUAGGUAGGUCCGUUGUGAAAACUCGAGGCUCAACCUCGAGACGCCGAUGGAAACCAUCUGACUAGAGUCCGGAAGAGGAGAGUGGAAUUCCUGGUGUAGCGGUGAAAUGCGCAGAUAUCAGGAAGAACACCCGUGGCGAAGGCGGCUCUCUGGGACGGUACUGACGCUGAGACGCGAAAGCGUGGGGAGCGAACAGG
rnacentral:rRNA from 1 species